GCGAGCCAGCCCGUGGCAAAUGCUUACGACCUAUUCCUUGCCAUCCCUAGAAGUCAACAAGGAGGGCAGGGCUAGAACCCACACCUGGACACAAGGGGCUAGGUUCCAACAGCCAGUUUCAGGCAGGCCCACCACUUUAAAGAGAUCGAACCCAUUCUCGUUGAAUGGGGGGGACAGGGGAUCUUAAGGGAAACACGCUCAGCUCUUGAGGACCAGAUCACAUGGAGCACGAGGAGCCUGGAACUGUGAGGCCCAGGGAUCCUCCUCUGACAAUGGAAGCAGCCCCAGCGAUCCCUCUGAGAGCACAGGAAGGCCACGGCUCACGUCCCCAAACACAUAUUUGAAGACUCUUUCCUUUUCAGGAGGAAGGCUGACAAACCCCUCUCCACCAUAGACCGGAACCCAUGACCUCAGAGCCAGGACACAUGGGCACCGAACUCCAAAGGAGAGAAGGAGCAGAGCGCCAGGUGUGCCAGCGCCUGAGCCAGAGGAGAAAGAAUCUCACAAGUAGGGGCAGAAGCUGGGCUGGUCAGGUGCACAUGAAACACAAGAAGACGGAAAUGGCUUCUACUUUUCGAAGUGUGCAUGUAAGAUGAAACGCUUGGAAAACUAGUUGGCACUGAAGCUGGUCCUGAAUCAAUCCGUGAGACAAUGACCUAAAUAGGCCGACCCCCUGGAGGCUGCCCCAAAGCCAAGUCAGGCUCCUCCAACACGCUGUGCCUGCCUGCCGUUCCCAGGAGCGCUGCGUGAUGGACAGUUCUAAGGAAGACCCUAUAAUCUGCAUUUAUGCCAUUUGUCUCUUUGAUACAUAAAAUACAGAUAUUUGCAUCAUUUAUGUGAACAUGCAUGAUUUUCUUCUGAAAGCCACAAAGAGAAAGAGAGUCUGAUCCAUGGCCCCCUCCCCACGCCCCAUCAUCCCCCUUCUUCAGCAGCCUGAAGACUUAAGCCCAGCACCUCUGACAAGCCAAAUUGAUCUGGAAAGGCGCUUCGGAGGCCCGUCGCAUGAACAGAAAGAAGAAAGGACUGUCCUUGCAAAGGAGACACAGAAGACAAAGUGAGGUGUGGGCAAGUCUCCUUCUCCACUCGGUGGCCUCCUGUAGGUGACAGCGGGAAGGUCCAGGGACAGCAGGAAGCCCCAAGGAGCUGCCCAGGCCACAUGACCUGACUGCACUAGAGCUCAACUAUAUGCCCUGAAACCGCAGCCUUGAACAAAAAGCCAAACAGACCAAAGUGAGGAACAGAAGCUUCUGCACCAGCAGGCGGGCGAGGCUGGCAGGCCAAGGUACGCCCCUGGGCAUCCAGGCCAGAUCCUCUGGCAGGGGCUGGUUCCGAGCCAAGCAGCCUCAGGGGCCCCGAGCAGCUGGGAUCAAGGACCUUCAGAGGCCUGAACCACUGGUCUUGAGGCCCUUGAGGACUCCUGAGCAGAAACCUGGGCGCAGAUUGGCCGCGCCAUCCCACACUUCACUCAUGCCCCAUAGGCGCAUCCUUCCUGCCCGGCCCAUCCUUCCUUCCCAUCCUUCCAGCGGCUCCUAUUUGCAGGAGGAUAACGGCACCCAUCAUUCCACCAGGCCUCAGAGACAGCACGUGUGCGCAUGCACGUGAUCCCUGCUCCCCUGCAAGGGCGUAUCCUCCCCACUCCUCCAGAGAGAAAAAUGAGACCAGGGAGACGGACAGGGAGGACCCAGUCUUCCAGACACCCGUGCCUGGAUUCUAGACCUUCUCUGCAACUCCCUUCACCAGCCCCUGGUCUAGGCAGGCACUGGUCCUUUGAGCAGCUCCCAUCCUCAGCCGCUCGCUCCCCCCACCGACGCUCCGUGACUGAGCACCCACCUUCUAGGCACUGAGGGUGCAGCGCCAAUGAGACAAGCAGCGGCAUCCUCUCACGAAGGCUACCUUCCACGCAGACACAGAUAAGAGGAUCAAAAUGGACAAAAGCGGUCCACGGUCACCUCCGUGAGUCCACACAUGCCGACAGGUGCUUCCCCAUCACAGCAGGGAGCAGAGAUGGGCUCGAACUUCCCCCUCACUUCUCUGACCUCAAGACCUGCAGAGCCCCGUGGUGUGGAGCAGGUCCAGUCCCGAGAAGCCCCAGCCCAAAACGCAGGCAUGAGGCACGUACAGGAUGCUCCUGGCUAAGGAAAGCAUCCCUCAGCCAACCACCACCAGCGUCGCCCGCAUCCCUGCCAAGAAAGGCGCCCCAUGCCCUCCCCACUCGCAGGUGUGUCCUGCCGGGGCGAAGACCUGCCCACCCACUUUGUCAAACUGUUGAUGUCCACAAUGAACAACGUCCCAAACCACAGACAGGAUCAUGUUUCUCUGAGACAUGACUUCUAGCACCAGCUGCCCACAGCGACUCCUGGGCCUGCCCCAAGCUCCCAACACCCCCUCCAUCAUAGAAACUUCCUGGGACCACGUUCGCCCCACCUGGUCCUCUGCUCCCCAGAGGGACCUGCCAUCUAACCCAGGAAGAUGCCUUCCUGACCAUCCCCCAAACCACACCUAUUCGCCUCCCACAGGUCUUCUAAGAACAAACAAACAUCCAAAACCUGUGAUUCCCAAGGACUGAUUGUGGAAUGUCUGAAAGAUGGAUCUGGAAGAAGGGGAACCUGGGUCCUGAACAAAAAUAACACAUCUUGCAAUUUACAAAAAACUUUUUGGGGGAGUUCCCGUUGUGGCUCAGUGGUUAACGCAUCCGAAAAGGAACCAUGAGGUUGCGGGUUUGAUCCCUGGCCUCGCUUAGUGGGUUAAGGAUCUGGCAUUGCUGUGAGCUGUGGUGCCAGAGAUGGAACCUGAGUCCCCAUAGGUACUCGUCAGGUUCAUUACCACUGAGCCACAAGAGGAACUCCGGAAAGAUUUUUUUUUUUAAAUCCUCUCUCAUCAUCAGAGCAGAUAUAAGACUUCCUUUAUUUUUUUUUCACCACGCCCAUAGUACGUGGAAGUUCCUGGGGCCAAAAAUAGAACCAGAGCCACAGCAGUGACCAUGCUGAAUCCUUAACCACUAGGCCAACAGGCAACUCCCUACAGAAGAUUUAUACAGACAGUGUCUCAUUGAGUCAUCACAACUCUCUGGCACAUGAUAUUAUUCCUAAGUCUCAAAUAAGGAAACUAAGACUCAGAAUUUAAGUAAUUUGUAGAUGGGCAUUCCCGUCGUGGCACAGGGGAAACGAAUCCGACUAGGAACCAUGAGGUUGAGGGUUUGAUCCCUGGCCUCGAUCAGUGAGUUAAGGAUCAGGCAUUGCUGUGAGGUGUGGUGUAGGCUGCAAACGCGGCUUGGAUGCAGCGCUGCUGUGGCUGUGGUGUAGGCCGGCAGCUGUAGCUCUGAUGAGACCCCUAUCCUGGGGACCUCCAUAUGCCUGGGAGCGCGCGGGGGAGGGGGGUGAGGCAGCUCUAAAAAGCCAAAAAUUAAAAUUAAAAAAAAAAAAUAGAAGAAACUAUAGCUGUCAAGCUCUGGCGUCGAGGGGUGCGGGGAGCCAGCUGCAAUCCUGGGAGGACCUGUGGAGAGGUCCACGCAAGGAGACACUGAGGCCUCCAGCCAGCAGCCCUGCGAGCGAACCUGCAAGCAGACCCCCAGCCUCAGCCGAGCCUUCAGAUGUUUUCA
rnacentral:lncRNA from 1 species